UUCCACUGAGUUCAUAGAUAGCCUUUUGAACAAUAGAGAAAGUAGAUUGCAAAUUCAAAUAUAUCUAGGAAACUUACAGGGACAAGAGCCAGAAAAGUAAGGGGCUACUUUCUGCUAUAAGGAUUCUUAUGGUUCUGAAAUGUGUUGGCCCAUCUGCUAUAGUUCAUAUCUGGAAUGUUCUCCAAAAGUCUGUGUGUUUAAGAUUUGUUCCCCCAUCCCUAGUGCUAUUGGGAAUUGGGAGAAACUUUAAUAGGCAGGUCCCAGAGGGAAGACUUCAAGUCACUGGGGACUCAGUGGGGACUCAGAGGGGGACUGUAGGACCCUGAUCUCUUCCUUUCUCUCUCUCCCUCUCUUUGGCAUCCUAGUCAUGAAGUGAGGGGUUUUGCUUCAUUUGCUUCCACCAUGAUGUUCUGCCUCCCCACCAAGCCAACUGAUCAUUGCCUGAAACUUCCACAACUUCUUACAAAGGAUGCUUAAAGAAGACAGACUAAUUAGAAGACCGAGACUCAAAAAUUGGAGAGAGGAAGAGUCAGAAACAAAAUGGAUGGUGCUGGUGUGUGCAGGAGCUGCGGUAUUGAUUUCCACAUUUGCUAAGGCAUCUGAGUGUGAGCUGCCCAUCACAGUGCUGACUUGAAUAAAAGGUUAUUACUGUAA